UACGAGGGGAGCAAGCGUUGUUCGGAUUUACUGGGCGUAAAGGGCGCGUAGGCGGCGUGGCAAGUCACUUGUGAAAUCUCCGGGCUUAACUCGGAACGGUCAAGUGAUACUGUCGUGCUAGAGUACAGAAGGGGCAACUGGAAUUCUCGGUGUAGCGGUGAAAUGCGUAGAUAUCGAGAGGAACACCUGCGGCGAAGGCGGGUUGCUGGGCUGAUACUGACGCUGAGGCGCGAAAGCGUGGGGAGCGAACAGG
rnacentral:rRNA from 1 species